rnacentral:lncRNA from 1 species
UUGUUUUGUUAGAACACAGCCAGCAAUGCCUGAUUGUUCGGUCCUCCUCACCAAUAAUCAAGUUAGAAUAGUUGUCCUCUUCUCUUUCUCAACACACACCACUAACUCUUCUAUAUAUAUACUUCAAAAAAUAUUUUCUUUUAUUUUUAAAGCAUUUACACGUAUACAAAUGUGGAUGCCCUGUUAUUACAUAAAUGAUAAGUAUUUUAUUGUGUUCAUAUGAUGGCUUACGUUAUAAGUGAGGAUGCCUGUUUGUUCAU